GUCGAGAAUAAUUCACAAUGGGGGAAACCCUGAUGGUGCAACGCCGCGUGGAGGAUGAAGGUCUUCGGAUUGUAAACUCCUGUCAUGCGUGAACAAGGUUGCUUGGUUAAUACCUGGGCAAAUUGAUGGUAACGCAAGAGGAAGAGACGGCUAACUCUGUGCCAGCAGCCGCGGUAAUACAGAGGUCUCAAGCGUUGUUCGGAAUCACUGGGCGUAAAGGGUGCGUAGGUGGCGUGGUAAGUCAGAUGUGAAAGCCCGGGGCUCAACCUCGGAACUGCAUCCGAUACUGCCAUGCUAGAGUACUGGAGAGGUGACUAGAAUUCUCGGUGUAGCAGUGAAAUGCGUAGAUAUCGAGAGGAAUACCAAAGGCGUAGGCAGGUCACUGGACAGUUACUGACACUGAGGCACGAAGGCCAGGGGAGCGAACGGGAUUAGAAACCCGUGUAGUCC
rnacentral:rRNA from 1 species